UUUGGGCUUGUUAAAUGGUUGUGUCAUUUGUUAGUUGUCAACAUUGCAUGUUCUGGAUAGCUAGCCCUGUGUUAUUUUACCUCAGGUUGGCUAGUUGUUAGCCGCUAGCUCGCCUGGGCCAGUAUAAAUUCAGCAAUUUAUAGACUUUCAAAGUUAUUUCCUCGGAUCGGUGUAUAGGGUAGAUAAGGAUGAUUAGCUGACUCUAUGGAAUAAAUCAGGCGGCGCUUUACUGACGCGAAGCUAUCUUCUGAACAUUUUUUUUUUUAAAAGAAAGUCAGACAGAAUGCAUGCAGGGAGGAUACUGUAACACUACGAUGGAUUGACGUAGCAGUAAUGGGGUAAAAGUGGAUGCUAGCGAAUACUACUGCUAGUAACGGGAGAGGAGGGGGCAUGGCAACGGGCUGGCAUAGAGACUACUUUAAACAUAGAGGUAGAACAUUAGACUAGAGGUGACACGGCAAUUCGCGACAGCACUGGAAAACGGCAAGUGCAGCCUCCCAUCUUGUGUAGGAAGUGUACUGUACCUACAGUCAAUGCAAAUGGAGAACACGCCCACCUCUGUCAAAAAAUGGACUAAAACUGUGUGAAAAUGAAUUAACACAUUAAUCAAAGACCAGAUUUGAAAUGUCAUGCUAAAUAUCUACUUAAAUCAUAUGAGUCGAUAAAAUACAUUUAAAAAUGCAAUUAUAUUAAUUAUGUAGAUAUUUAGCAACACACUUCAACUAUUGUCCUUGUAUAGUGUGUUGAUGGACAUUUUCACAUUAUUAAGUCAUUUUUUGACAGAGGUGAGCCCCCUUCUCCAUUCAUUUCCAUUUCUCAGGUCUACCUCCAAAAAAUGUCUGCCACCGAUUGCCGUGAAAAGGGGGGCGGGGUCACCUCUAGUCUUAUGUUCUACCUCUAUGACUUUAAACUUCAGCCGUUCUGAAAAGAAGAUUCAAAGUUUGAGUUUUAGGUGGCAGAGUAGAGGAACAGCAGCGUUGUGUGAAGUGUGAAGUGUGGUAGUGACUCCAGGCUAUCAACACCAGUUAGGGCUACUGUACUGUGUUUUUAAAGUACCUUUAAUGCACUGGAAACUAACGUGCUCCCCCCCCCCCCCCUCUCUCCCUCUCUCUCUUAAUCAGGGCCGAGGACUUGUGUCCACAUCUGUCCAAGUUCUUGCCACUGUAUUCAAAAAUGAAAAAGAGUGCACACGAAAGAUAUACAAUGUUCACAAUCUUGAACAACUGGUUAACAAUAGCCUUUCAGAGCAACCAGGGUUUGAAUUUGACAGAGUCCUGAAAUACCACACUGAUUUCCAAGAAUUUGUGGAUGUAGACAGAUGUGUGGCUAAAGAACUUGGACAGAUUCCAGAUCUUCAUGGUAAAGGCAGAAGCACCAACCCAAACAAAUUCUGGCAACAUGUGUCAAACAGAGUGUGCCUACAGCCUGCAGCCUUUACUAGAGAAAAAAGCUCCUCAGAUCCUCGACGAGCAUCAAAAAACAGGAACACUGAAAACCGAGUCAAGACGGCUACUGGUGAAAUUGUGUGUCGCAGACCUUGUGGAGAAGCAUGGCUUUUAUCCACUGGGCACUGAAAAAGUUGCUUUAGCGAAGGCAAUAAUCGGUGUAUUUCCAUCGCUGCGCGUCCAAGUAGCUGGAGAAGGAGAAGGAUUUCCGCAGGUCGUGGAUCUCCAAGGACUCCCCCUCCAUUGGCGACAUAUUUGAAAAAUAUCCCCGUUUCCUGGAUAUGCCAAGUUUGGUACGUCUACCAUUGUGACUUUUUUUAACCUUUAUUAUGCCAGGAUUGUCCAACUGAGAGUCUCUCUUGCCUAACCCCAGUUCCAGACCAUAGACAAACAUUCCAUUACAUAAUAAGAAUCA